GAUGAACGCUGGCGGCGUGCUUAACACAUGCAAGUCGAACGAGGUCCAACCUUCGGGUGAAGACCGAGUGGCGAACGGGUGAGUAACACGUGGGGAACCUGCCCUUCUCUCUGGGAUGACCUCGGGAAACCGAAGCUAAUACCGGAUACUCCUUGCGGACCGCAUGGUCUGCUCGGGAAAGCUCCGGCGGAGAAGGAUGGCCCCGCGGCCCAUUAGCUUGUUGGUGGGGUAACGGCCCACCAAGGCGACGAUGGGUAGCCGAGCUGAGAGGCUGAUCGGCCACACUGGGACUGAGACACGGCCCAGACUCCUACGGGAGGCAGCAGUGGGGAAUCUUGCGCAAUGGGCGAAAGCCUGACGCAGCAACGCCGCGUGCGGGAUGAAGGCUCUCGGGUCGUAAACCGCUUUCAGCAGGGAUGAAAAUGACAGUACCUGCAGAAGAAGCCCCGGCUAAAUACGUGCCAGCAGCCGCGGUAAUACGUAUGGGGCAAGCGUUAUCCGGAUUCAUUGGGCGUAAAGCGCGCGUAGGCGGCUUGUUAAGUCAGGCGUGAAAUCCGGGGGCUCAACCCGCGGCUUGCGUCUGAAACUGGCAGGCUUGAGUCUGGUAGAGGAAAGUGGAAUUCCUGGUGUAGCGGUGAAAUGCGCAGAUAUCAGGAGGAACACCAGUGGCGAAGGCGGCUUUCUGGGCCACGACUGACGCUGAGGCGCGAAAGCUAGGGGAGCGAACA
rnacentral:rRNA from 1 species